GGCGUAGCGCAGCCUGGUAGCGCACCUGCUUCGGGAGCAGGGGGUCGGAGGUUCGAAUCCUCUCA
rnacentral:ncRNA from 13 species